rnacentral:tRNA from 1 species
GGUUCCAUAGUGUAGCAGUUAGCAUGUCUGCUUUACACGCAGAAGGCCCUGGGUUCGCGUCCCACUGGAGCCA